UACAGAGGUGGCAAGCGUUGUUCGGAAUUACUGGGCGUAAAGGGCGCGUAGGCGGCCUUCUAAGUCAGACGUGAAAUCCCCAGGCUUAACCUGGGAACUGCGUCUGAUACUGGGAGGCUUGAGUGCGGGAGAGGGACGUGGAAUUCCUGGUGUAGCGGUGAAAUGCGCAGAUAUCAGGAGGAACACCCGUGGCGAAGGCGGCUCUCUGGGACGGUACUGACGCUGAGACGCGAAAGCGUGGGGAGCGAACAGG
rnacentral:rRNA from 1 species